ACAAAACAAGCCAUCUAUAACCAAGCAUGCGCGCCUCAUCAAAACCUUGCAGGAAAAAAAGCAAAGUUCUCAUCUUAUGCAGAGAGAGACGCUUUAAGAUUGACCACAUUCAAACGCGUUGUGAUUGUCAACAGAGAUGAGAUACCAUGUGUUGAAAUAAAGAACCUGAACCUACCUAUGGGGGUUUGAGUCAUGAUUAUAGGGUUAGGGGCCUGUGGAAUUUCUCUCUUGGUGCAACGCAUGAUCUCUUUUGCUAGUACUCCCUCCGUUCCAAAUUACUCGUCGUGGUUUUAGUUCAAAUUACUCGUCGUGGAACUAAAACCACAACGAGUACAAAUUUGAACUAAAACCACGACGAGUAAUUUGGAAGAUGGAGUAACUGUUAACAGAAGAUGAAGCUACAGCGGUGUACAAUUAACUAAUAAUAAACUUAAUAACAACAACUGAGGGACCUAUAGGCUAACAUGUCAAGCAU
rnacentral:lncRNA from 1 species